CCCGCAAGCUCUGCAGGCUGGCUAGCGGGCAGACCCCAGCCCCACGUCCUGCUACCCACCUACGAAGGAUCCGGGGAUGGGCAGCGCCACCCGGCCCGCUCCAGAGUCAGCAUGGGUCUCCGUGAGGCCGGGUGACGCUCCAGAAUGGGAGACAAGCCAAUUUGGGAGCAGAUUGGAUCCAGCUUCAUUCAACAUUACUACCAGUUAUUUGAUAAUGAUAGAACCCAACUAGGCGCAAUUUACAUUGACGCGUCAUGCCUUACGUGGGAAGGACAACAGUUCCAGGGGAAAGCUGCCAUUGUGGAGAAGUUGUCUGUAAGUAGGGAAGAAAGCCAGGGUGCAGGUGGCUCCUUUCCCACCCCUUCUGGCCUUGGUUCUCCCACCUCCCACUCUCUCUCUU
rnacentral:lncRNA from 1 species